rnacentral:rRNA from 1 species
UUGGAGGGCAAGUCUGGUGCCAGCAGCCGCGGUAAUUCCAGCUCCAAUAGCGUAUAUUAAAGUUGUUGCAGUUAAAAAGCUCGUAGUUGAAUUUCGGGAUCAGUACGUUGGUCGUGCCUUAGGUACGUACUGGUGUUACUGGUUUCUACCUUCUGACGAACCAUCAUGUCAUUCAUUUGGUGUGGCGGGGAAUCAGGACUGUUACUUUGAAAAAAUUAGAGUGUUUAAAGCAGGCUCGCGCUUGAAUACAUUAGCAUGGAAUAAUGAAAUAGGACGUUGAUCCUAUUUUGUUGGUUUCUAGGAUUGACGUAAUGAUUAAUAGGGAUAGUUGGGGGCAUUAGUAUUCAAUUGUCAGAGGUGAAAUUCUUGGAUUUAUCGAAGACUAACUACUGCGAAAGCAUUUGCCAAGGAUGUUUUCAUUAAUCAAGAACGAAAGUUAGGGGAUCGAAGACGAUCAGAUACCGUCGUAGUCUUAACCAUAAACUAUGCCGACUAGGGAUCGGAUGAUGUUAUUUUUAAUGACUCAUUCGGCGCCUUACGGGAAAC